rnacentral:lncRNA from 1 species
GAGAGACUUGACAAACUCAACUAUACUACGACAAACUCUGAUACCAACUAAAAGACUGAAUACUACUAAACAAGACUAGAAAGCAAAAAACAAUAUGAAUGACAGACUCAAAACAUAAAAAGUCUCCCCAAGAAGCUCAUGUAUGCAACGGUCCUGACUGGAAUGGUCCUGGGGCGUCUAUCAUGCUCAAGCUACGGUAAACGGAUCCAUACCUGAAUGAGAAGAUAAGACCAAAUAGAGUUAGUGACUCAAGACACUAUGUGAGACCAUAACCUUCCUAUUGGACACACGAACAGGCGGCUAGAAAUGCAAACUCAGCUAGGACGACCUGUAAGACAUGGAAAAUACCUCACGAAGGCCUAUACGACCCCCGAUCUCCCAGGAAUCACGGUCUCUAAAAUUACUUUACAAAAAUGACUCAUUUUGCAUAAAUGGCCUAUGUGAUAAAAAAUGGCUAAGCAUGCAAACUCAACAGGAAUGGACCUUAAACUAUGUGGACUCUUUGUUGUGGACUCAUGACUCUGAGACAUGGGUUAACAAGUCACUUUUGUAAAAAUAUCCCUAUUUCGCAAAAACGAUCGAUGUGGUCAAAUGUGGCUAAAUAUGCAAAUUCAACAAGGAAGGGCCUUAAAGUAAGGAGACAGCUAAUUGUGGAUUCAAGACUCUCCGAACACGGUUCAACAAGUCACUUUGCAAAAAUAACCCUAUUUUAUAAAAAGAUCGAUGUGGCCAAAAGUGACUAGACAUGCAAGAUUUGGCUAUGACCCUCGAAGCCAAGAACUUAAGACUCACUAGGAUGACCGGACCCUAUGUGGGUUGCCUACGUAUCCCGUCCCAAAAGACGAGAAUCAGGUAUGCGUAGUUCGGGAAGAUUGGCCAAAAUUGAAAACACUUACAAAAGGGUCAAUAAACUUGAAAAAUAAGUUGCUUUUUUUUUUGAUUUUUUGUAAAAUGGUAUGAAGGUGUAAAAUAUUUUUGGAAUUUUUCUUUUUUUUUUCAUUUUUUCUUUUUUUUUUUGAAAAAACUAUGAAAGAAAAAUAAAAGUGGGCCCUACUUGCUUCAUUUUUACCCUUCUUUCCCAAACAUCAGUCCGUCAAAUGACCUUUCUACCCUCAAAGAUGCAACAUUUAGCACAUAAGAUGAUUGAAUGUCAUUUUGGGCCAGCGGGCCCAUUUGACACAAUUUGGAUAGGUUUCCUACAAAGGACACGGCACCAAGGACCACGCCCUGCUAGGUUAUAAUGAUAUGAUGCAAAUAAAAAUGACCUAAAGGCUGACCUACGUUUGAGGUUCACUAACAAAGCAAUUCUGGGGAACGUAUGGUCGAUAGUGGCUGUUAGGGGUGGGCGUCGGUUGGUUCGGUCGGUUAUUAUGAAAGUAUGGUUCAGUUUAUCGGUUUUGUAAUAUUAAUAACCAAAUCAAAUCAAAGUAUUUACGGUUCGGUGUGAUUUUUUUCAAAGUUUGGUUCGGUUAUUUCCGGUUUAGUUUUUCGGUUAUUAACGGUUCAAGAUUUUUAUAUCUUGGAUUUACUUUCAGUGGUCAUAAACUUUCAGUGAUUUUUGCAUAAUAUAAAAACUGGGCAGUGGACAGUGGGCAUAACGUUGUAGCAUCCAAACAUGAACAAAAUAACAAUUGUUAAAGUUAAACCUUAAACCCUACGGAAAGCAUUAAAACACGAAACAGUGAGAGCGUGGAGAACUUUUGUAUCAGUUCUGGGUUUCUUCUCAAUUCUCCCAUUUCCUCUUACUCCGAAAUCUGCAAUUUUGCUCCUAUCUUAUCAAUUAACACAUUAAAAUUAUUGGAAAAUAUUCAGAGUUGUUGCAGCUGUUGCUUUAUCAAUCGGGUAUUAACCUAUGGAAUCAAAGAAUUAAAGGUGGAGAAACUUAAAUAGGUGGAUACCAGGUUGGUUUACAACAGAAGCAUUGAUAUAACGUAAAAGAAAAAGAUUAGUAGAAACUGAAGAGAAAACUAAACAAAACAACAUGUUUCUAUUGAUGGACUCAUUCCAUUAACACUCCAGAAAAGAAAUAAAAAAUUGCUCAGAGAUUAAUGAAACCCGUCAAGUCCAUGUUCCUAUUUAACAAAAUAAUGUAGCAUAGAAAGGGAUCAAUAGAAGAAAGAGACAUGCUCACUUUAACUUAGCAGAAUAAUCAACACAAGAAAUUUUCACCAAAAUCGAAUGAGUUGAGGAACAGAGGAAGAAAACUGAAAAGGAACUCAGAACUCAGAAGAAGUCGCACUAACCUGAGGAAGAAUGAUGAGCAACGAGCUGAGGAAGAAGGCGUCACAGUCGAGCUGAGGAAGAAGACAACAGUCGCACAGAGGAACC